AUACGUAGGGGGCAAGCGUUGUCCGGAAUCACUGGGCGUAAAGGGUUCGUAGGCGGCUUGUUUAGUCCUUCGUGAAAGCCCCAGGCUCAACUUGGGAACUGCGCGGGAUACUGACAGGCUUGAGGGCAGGAGAGGCAAGCGGAACGUUGCAAGUAGCGGUGAAAUGCAUUGAUAUGCAACGGAACACCAAUGGCGAAGGCAGCUUGCUGGACUGCUCCUGACGCUGAGGGACGAAAGCCAGGGCAGCGAACGGGAUUAGAUACCCCGGUAGUCCUGGCCGUAAACGAUGGGUACUAGGUGUUGGUGGUAUCGACCCCUCCAGUGCCGCAGCUAACGCAUUAAGUACCCCGCCUGGGGAGUACGGCCGCAAGGUUGAA
rnacentral:rRNA from 1 species